GCCCAGGAUGCGGCAUUCUUCCCUGCAAUGAAAUCCUUCGCUCUGAUCUGGCUCGGGCCCCUGCGAGCCCAUGGAGGGCACGCUGGUGUUGAGCACGUCAUUGACCGCCGUGUCGCAGUAGAGGCCACGCUGCACAUCGUGCUCGCUGUCAGUCUGGUCGCUCUCCUCGUGGCCGCUGUCCUUCAGGCUGUUUCCCUCCAGGUCUUUGAACGUGGAGCUUUUUAUUAAAU
rnacentral:lncRNA from 1 species